GAUGAACGCUGGCGGCGUGCCUAAUACAUGCAAGUCGAGCGAACGGACGAGAAGCUCGCUUUUCUGAUGUUAGCGGCGGACGGGUGAGUAACACGUGGAUAACCUACCUCUAAGACUUGGAUAACUUCGGGAAACCGGAGCUAAUACCGGAUAAUAUUUUGAACCGCAUGGUUCAAAAGUGAAAGACGGUCUUUCUGUCACUUAUAGAUGGAUCCGCGCUGCAUUAGCUAGUUGGUAAGGUAACGGCUUACCAAGGCAACGAUGCAUAGCCGACCUGAGAGGGUGAUCAGCCACACUGGAACUGAGACACGGUCCAGACUCCUACGGGAGGCAGCAGUAGGGAAUCUUCCGCAAUGGGCGAAAGCCUGACGGAGCAACGCCGCGUGAGUGAUGAAGGUCUUCGGAUCGUAAAACUCUGUUAUUAGGGAAGAACAUAUGUGUAAUUAACUGUGCACAUCUUGACGGUACCUAAUCAGAAAGCCACGGCUAACUUCGUG
rnacentral:rRNA from 1 species